rnacentral:rRNA from 1 species
UUUGGUUAAGUUAGAAAGGGCGCACGGUGGAUGCCUUGACACUAGGAGUCGAUGAAGGACGGGACUAACGCCGAUAUGCUUCGGGGAGCUGUAAGUAAGCUUUGAUCCGAAGAUUUCCGAAUGGGGAAACCCACCAUACGUAAUGGUAUGGUAUCCUUAUCUGAAUACAUAGGGUAAGGAAGACAGACCCAGGGAACUGAAACAUCUAAGUACCUGGAGGAAGAGAAAGCAAAUGCGAUUUCCUGAGUAGCGGCGAGCGAAACGGAACAUAGCCCAAACCAAGAGGCUUGCCUCUUGGGGUUGUAGGACAUUCUAUACGGAGUUACAAAGGAACGAGGUAGACGAAGCGACCUGGAAAGGUCCGUCGUAGAGGGUAACAACCCCGUAGUCGAAACUUCGUUCUCUCUUGAAUGUAUCCUGAGUACGGCGGAACACGUGAAAUUCCGUCGGAAUCUGGGAGGACCAUCUCCCAAGGCUAAAUACUCCCUAGUGAUCGAUAGUGAACCAGUACCGUGAGGGAAAGGUGAAAAGCACCCCGGAAGGGGAGUGAAAGAGAUCCUGAAACCGUGUGCCUACAAAUAGUCAGAGCCCGUUAACGGGUGAUGGCGUGCCUUUUGUAGAAUGAACCGGCGAGUUACGAUCCCGUGCGAGGUUAAGCUGAAGAGGCGGAGCCGCAGCGAAAGCGAGUCUGAAUAGGGCGUUUAGUACGUGGUCGUAGACCCGAAACCAGGUGAUCUACCCAUGUCCAGGGUGAAGUUCAGGUAACACUGAAUGGAGGCCCGAACCCACGCACGUUGAAAAGUGCGGGGAUGAGGUGUGGGUAGCGGAGAAAUUCCAAUCGAACCUGGAGAUAGCUGGUUCUCCCCGAAAUAGCUUUAGGGCUAGCCUUAAGUGUAAGAGUCUUGGAGGUAGAGCACUGAUUGGACUAGGGGUCCUCAUCGGAUUACCGAAUUCAGUCAAACUCCGAAUGCCAAUGACUUAUCCUUAGGAGUCAGACUGCGAGUGAUAAGAUCCGUAGUCAAAAGGGAAACAGCCCAGACCGCCAGCUAAGGUCCCAAAGUGUGUAUUAAGUGGAAAAGGAUGUGGAGUUGCUUAGACAACUAGGAUGUUGGCUUAGAAGCAGCCACCAUUUAAAGAGUGCGUAAUAGCUCACUAGUCGAGUGACUCUGCGCCGAAAAUGUACCGGGGCUAAAUACACCACCGAAGCUGCGGAUUGAUACCGAAUGGUAUCAGUGGUAGGGGAGCGUUCUAAGGACAGUGAAGUCAGACCGGAAGGACUGGUGGAGUGCUUAGAAGUGAGAAUGCCGGUAUGAGUAGCGAAAGACGGGUGAGAAUCCCGUCCACCGAAUGCCUAAGGUUUCCUGAGGAAGGCUCGUCCGCUCAGGGUUAGUCAGGACCUAAGCCGAGGCCGACAGGCGUAGGCGAUGGACAACAGGUUGAUAUUCCUGUACCACCUCUUUAUCGUUUGAGCAAUGGAGGGACGCAGAAGGAUAGAAGAAGCGUGCGAUUGGUUGUGCACGUCCAAGCAGUUAGGCUGAUAAGUAGGCAAAUCCGCUUAUCGUAAAGGCUGAGCUGUGAUGGGGAAGCUCCUUAUGGAGCGAAGUCUUUGAUUCCCCGCUGCCAAGAAAAGCUUCUAGCGAGAUAAAAGGUGCCUGUACCGCAAACCGACACAGGUAGGCGAGGAGAGAAUCCUAAGGUGUGCGAGAGAACUCUGGUUAAGGAACUCGGCAAAAUGACCCCGUAACUUCGGGAGAAGGGGUGCUUUCUUAACGGAAAGCCGCAGUGAAUAGGCCCAAGCGACUGUUUAGCAAAAACACAGCUCUCUGCGAAGCCGUAAGGCGAAGUAUAGGGGGUGACACCUGCCCGGUGCUGGAAGGUUAAGGAGAGGGGUUAGCGUAAGCGAAGCUCUGAACUGAAGCCCCAGUAAACGGCGGCCGUAACUAUAACGGUCCUAAGGUAGCGAAAUUCCUUGUCGGGUAAGUUCCGACCCGCACGAAAGGUGUAACGAUUUGGGCACUGUCUCAACCAGAGACUCGGUGAAAUUAUAGUACCUGUGAAGAUGCAGGUUACCCGCGACAGGACGGAAAGACCCCGUGGAGCUUUACUGUAGCCUGAUAUUGAAUUUUGGUACAGUUUGUACAGGAUAGGCGGGAGCCUUUGAAACCGGAGCGCUAGCUUCGGUGGAGGCGCUGGUGGGAUACCGCCCUGACUGUAUUGAAAUUCUAACCUACGGGUCUUAUCGACCCGGGAGACAGUGUCAGGUGGGCAGUUUGACUGGGGCGGUCGCCUCCUAAAGUGUAACGGAGGCGCCCAAAGGUUCCCUCAGAAUGGUUGGAAAUCAUUCGUAGAGUGCAAAGGCAUAAGGGAGCUUGACUGCGAGACCUACAAGUCGAGCAGGGACGAAAGUCGGGCUUAGUGAUCCGGUGGUUCCGCAUGGAAGGGCCAUCGCUCAACGGAUAAAAGCUACCCCGGGGAUAACAGGCUUAUCUCCCCCAAGAGUCCACAUCGACGGGGAGGUUUGGCACCUCGAUGUCGGCUCAUCGCAUCCUGGGGCUGUAGUCGGUCCCAAGGGUUGGGCUGUUCGCCCAUUAAAGCGGUACGCGAGCUGGGUUCAGAACGUCGUGAGACAGUUCGGUCCCUAUCCGUCGUGGGCGUAGGAAAUUUGAGAGGAGCUGUCCUUAGUACGAGAGGACCGGGAUGGACGCACCGCUGGUGUACCAGUUGUUCUGCCAAGGGCAUAGCUGGGUAGCUAUGUGCGGAAGGGAUAAGUGCUGAAAGCAUCUAAGCAUGAAGCCUCCCUCAAGAUGAGAUUUCCCAUAGCGUAAGCUAGUAAGAUCCCUGAAAGAUGAUCAGGUUGAUAGGUUCGAGGUGGAAGCAUGGUGACAUGUGGAGCUGACGAAUACUAAUAGAUCGAGGACUUAACCAUAUAA